CCUACGGGCGGCAGCAGUGAGGAAUAUUGGUCAAUGGGCGCGAGCCUGAACCAGCCAAGUCGCGUGAGGGAGGACGGCCCUACGGGUUGUAAACCUCUUUUGCCGGGGAGCAACGUGCGUCACGUGUGGCGCCACUGAGAGUACCCGGAGAAAAAGCAUCGGCUAACUCCGUGCCAGCAGCCGCGGUAAUACGGAGGAUGCGAGCGUUAUCCGGAUUUAUUGGGUUAAAAGGGUGCGUAGGCGGAUCGUUAAGUAAGUGGUAAAAUUGAGGGGCUCAACCCCUUCCCGCCAUUGAAACUGGCGCUCUUGAGUGGAAGAGAAGUAUGCGGAAUGCGUGGUGUAGCGGUGAAAUGCAUAGAUAUCACGCAGAACCCCGAUUGCGAAGGCAGCAUGCCGGCUUCCGACUGACGCUGAAGCACGAAAGCGUGGGGAUCGAACAGGAUUAGAUACCCCAGUAGUC
rnacentral:rRNA from 1 species